CCCCUAGAUGUUCUGGGCCGCACGCGCGCUGCACUGAACAGUUCAACAAGUCUUAACCUUGGCCGAUAGGUCUGGGUAAUCUCCAAAUUUCGUCGUGAUGGGGAUAGAUUAUUGCAAUUAUUAAUCUUCAACGAGGAAUGCCUAGUAAGCGCAAGUCAUCAGCUUGCGUUGAUUACGUCCCUGCCCUUUGUACACACCGCCCGUCGCUCCUACCGAUUGAAUGGUCCGGUGAAGCGUUCGGACCGUGGCCUUUGGACGGUUCGCCGUCUGUUGGCUGCGGGAAGUUCGUUAAACCUCAUCAUUUAGAGGAAGGAGAAGUCGUAACA
rnacentral:rRNA from 1 species